ACCGGCCAGACUUAAAUUCCUGUAAUUAUGCUGCCAGGUCCCGUCUGUAAAAUAUUUCUUUGUCGAUGUCUUAUAUUUUUAGCAUAAACAGCGAUGCGAAAGUUGUCGAAGCAUUGCGAGCGCCCUCUUGUGUUUUCCGUUGAAUAGAGCAUACACAGUUGCGUAACAAUUUGCAUAUGACAUGCAGUGCGAAAAAGCCUUUUAUUCCGUGCAGUGUCUCAAAAGCAUAGGGCUUCGGACGCACAUUCCGUGAAUUUUUCGCUAGUUUUCUUGGAGAGUAAGCAAGCAUGGGUAGGUCACUUGACUGCUUGUCGUUGCUGCUGCCAGCCACACCUUAUUGCGAGCCAGCUUGUCUAUAUUUUGCUGUGUUUCUCACGUGGUUUUGCCAUGGUUAGCACGCCGCAUGUGCAUACACAUAUCAUGUACAUGCAUAUCGUGUAGUUGCCCAAACAUCCCGAGGCAUAGGUACACAGGCCGCAACUGCUCCGGUAAGUGUUUCAACUUCGUAAAUUUUGAUGUUAUCUUAAAUAGCACUUUACGACACAUUUUUAUGCCAUGAAUACUCGAGGUUGGAAGCCAAGUCUGUAUGAAACAUUUUUAUGCCAUGAAAUAAAUAUCCCAGGUUGAAAGCCAAGUCUAUAUGAAAAUUGUGCAUAAGAUGACUUGAAUUUUCGAUACCGAACCUCCUGGUAAUAUUGACUGUAUACUUGUACAUACUUCGAUCCUAAAUACAUGUUUCUUGUAUGUUGAAUUAUAGGGUCAAUGCACUUUAUUGAACUCAAAUUUGGAUAGCGUGGAUGGAAAGAGAAAUAAUAGAAUGUUUUAGCCUGAAAUGAAACACAUGAGACAUAUAGAUGGAUGUACGAAUACAGAAUAUUGAAUACUCUUUUUAUGAGCCUUACUGUUUAAACAAACAAAUGUUAAGAUAUAGAUGUACGGUAUAAAAUGCAUUGUAAAUUCAUCAAUAUAGAAUAACUACGGAUGUGUACACAUGUACUGUGGAGAUGAAACUUUUUGAUGGCACUGAUGAUUAUUUAAUAUUCCUUCAUCGAAACAUUUAUUAGUAUUUAUGAGAUUACUUAAUAUGUACAGUAAUUUUAUUACAGCUACUGCUUGUGGUUCUGUGGUUCCUGAGUGGUCACAAAUAGAGAAGCCUUCUCGAGUAGACCAGUGUAUCCCUUAUCCAGCAUCCAUAAUAUUUGGACUGCUGAAGAAUGACUGUCGUUUUUUUGUAAUAAAAUUUUGAUCAAUUUAUAGUGGAAUAUAUACCCAGUGUCACUUUCAAAUUUCUGCGUAACCUUUCCAGCUCGGUUACAAAAAUGGCGUAGUCGGCAGGAUGUCAUAAAAGACAUCUUAAUUUGUGACACUUUGAUCAAAUACAAACGACAGUCAUUAUUAUUAUUAUCAUCAUCAUCAUCAUCAUUAUUAUCUUCGAUGACAACCUUCUGGAGAGAAGCAUCUUUGAUCUGAAGGGUGGUUUGCUGCAGCAGUGCGUUUACAUCAUCUAGUCUCCGGACAGACAGCUGCCCAGAUGUUCGUCUGAAGUGAGAGUAUUUUCCAUGUAGCUACACACAUCUUCUCGGAGAGCCUUCUUAGCUUCACACAUCUUCCCCACAGUUCGGCACCCAGUCGUUGAGACAGCUUGGAGAGACAUUCUUCACCAUUACCUGUUUUUCAGUCGACCGGCCGUGGAGUGUGCUGCUAGUAUUCAGCUACAGAACUCUUUCACAUAUGGUGAACUGUAAACAUAUUCACUGGGAACAGUGUCUUGCAGUCAAGAUUUUUAACAUUUUAAUAUUGCACAUUCAUUUGUAUUUUAACUUGUAGCCACUGAGCAUGUCGUUUUGACAAUCGUAAAUUUUGCAUGUUAGACACAGCUUUAUCACAUACAUAGAACAGAUUGAUUGAUUGUUUGAUUGGUCCGAUUGAAGAUCAGCUAUUUUGGUAAAAUCAAGUUUGCCAUGGAGAUGACGCUUUAGAUAUUUCACAUUUGAGUAUAUACUCAUAUAUUGUGUGAACAUUUUAGUAACACCGUGGUAGUUUAUUUCUUUUUAUAUCUUCAGGUUUAAGCUUUCCAGGGACAGUUCUGGCUUCUGUACCUCAUGCCUCUCUCCCUGCCCUGCUGUCUUCACAGCAGUUACCACCCGCUUGUUGCUCAGUCUCUCGUAUCCGCGAACCGCUGUAGCAUAUCGUAUCUGUUUCUUUACCGACGCUGCGUAGAAUGCGUGUUAAGGUGAUGCAUGCUAAUUGCUUGCUCAUGCUGCCUGUACUUGUAUUGUCCGUGUAUUGAUUUUUUCACAUAACUAGUUGUAGUCUCUGGUUGAAACAUAUUGAAUUCAUAGUCGCAGAAAGUAGAGUAUUUGCUCUAGAUUUGAGACUUUUGGAGGAAUGACACCUGUACAUUUAAAACCCAGGAUAGAUCUAAUGCAGACCCUGUAUGUCAUUCUUAAACUGUACAGUCCUUUUAUCCGUAUUGAUAGUAGCCAGUAUUUGGUAAAUUUUAUUCUCUUCAUGUCCUAAUUUCGUUUUAACCACUAUAUUUUUGGGAUUAGCUAACCCAAAGUGGAUAAAUAAACAUGUUUAGGUUGGGGAUGAAAGAGGCCCUGUAAGUAUAUGUUGAGGAUUUUCUUUUUAAAAUACAUGUAGGUGUUAGCCAGAUGCUUGGAUUUUUUUAUAGUGAAGGAUAGUGUAGUAUAUGAUCAUCUUGAGAAAUUAGGUUUCUUGGACCAAUUGAGAUAAAUGUAAUCUCUAUUUCUCCAGCGACAUGCUACAGAUGGACCAUAUUUUUACCAUUUUCUCUAU